AAAAAUGGGCGCCCUCGUUUUAGCAACAAAAUAAGCGAGGAAAAUUUAUUGCAUAUUAGCGAUGGAUGUAGCGACGAAUUGUGUAUGUCGCUAAUAUUUUUCAUUAAUGACAGUAUCUUUAGCUACGGAAAGUUUUUGUCGCUAGGUAUUUAGGGAAAAAAAAAGUUACGAGUGUUCUGCUUUAGCGAAAAAGCUCACAGAAGACUACACUAAGAAACCAGCCCCUUUGCUUCUUCUUCUUCUCCUCUAAUCUUUGAUUAAUUUUCCCAGAUGCGUCACUACAUCAACUCUUUUCUAAAAUACUGGUGUUUUGAGAUCUGCGUGGUUUCCAAUUUCUUCAAGGUGAAGUGCUGCAAAACUCUACAUCUUUAUUUCAGGAAAAGGAAUGAAACAAUCUCAAAGAUUCCUCAUGGAUUAGUUAAGGUAUCGGUAUAUUUCUAUUAAAUUAUAAAUAUAUCUUAAUUUAUUUUAUUGACACAUAUUUUAUUGUCGCUUUCUCUCCCCC